rnacentral:tRNA from 1 species
GGCCAUCUUAGCUCAGACGGUAGAGCGGCGCACUUGUAAUGCGCAGGUCUUCGGUUCGAUUCCGGAAGAUGGCUG